CUUCAUCUCAUUUUUUUUACCGUGUUAAACGUUUAACCAUUCGUUUUAUUUGAAUUUUUUUAUAAUUAAUAUUUCUAUUAUUACUAGAUGAUAAAAUAUGAAUAGUAUUUUAUACGUGACUAACUUUUUAAGUUUUUGCACAAAUUUUUCAAAUAAGAUGAAUGGUCAAACGUUGGAAACGGAAAAAUGAGAUUAUU
rfam:Oryza brachyantha chromosome 8, whole genome shotgun sequence.